GGCUGAUCCAAGUGAAGUAAUGCUUACAACUAAUUUAUCAAAACCAGUUACAGAUUUUUGUGAUUUUUUUCUUUACUCCCAAUGAUUCACUUGACUAGCAAAA
rnacentral:Y_RNA from 1 species